UACGGGUGAGGCAAGCGUUGUUCGGAAUCACUGGGCUUAAAGCGCGUGUAGGCGGCUCGGUAAGUACCUUGUGAAAUCCCUUCUCUCAAUGAAGGAACGGCUAGGUAUACUGCCGGGCUUGAGGCAGGUAGGGGUCACUGGAACUCUAGGUGGAGCGGUGAAAUGCGUAGAUAUCUAGAGGAACGCCCGUGGCGAAAGCGGGUGACUGGGCCUGUCCUGACGCUGAGACGCGAAAGCGUGGGUAGCAAACGGG
rnacentral:rRNA from 1 species